rnacentral:misc_RNA from 1 species
AAAAAAUCACUAUUAAUCAGCAUUACAUCUCCAUUCUCCCAAGAAUAGCAUCAAGUGAUUCAAGAAUCAGAACUCCAAUUCAAAUACAGAGAAAAGAAAUACUUCACUAUUCCUUUGCAAGUUAUCAGUCUUUGGCCACACUAGCAAAAAUUAAAACAAAAAAUGUAUAUUAUAUAUCUACAAAACAAGCUUAAACUACAAAAUUUAGCCCUAGAAUGACACCUGACUUUUGACCCCAGUGCUUACCUUUGCCAGCGAAGUUUUAUUCCACCUUCUCGCAUUAUCUCAUAGGCAAUUUUGUAUUUUUCAAGAGAUGUUGUUCCAGCCUCUACGAAUUUACAGGCUGUUUCUCUCAAACUCCACAUGAUUAAGGACUUGAGUUCCUGAGGGCUAACACCAGAUUCAAUAUCACGAAUAGUCCCAUAUUCAGCAUUUUUUGUCCACCGAUGCAAGAUAUAGCAAGGUGGAAUUUCCCUUAUAUCCAACAGAUUGAAGACUCUCAAAACAUGUCUACACAGAAUACCUUCAAAUUCAAACAUUUGACAGCUACAACACACAUUUAGAUUGGAUGCACUGAAGGUAACAGCAUGUCUCUCAGUCUCAUUCCCACACCUCCGCACUGAAUAUCUGCUAAUGGUCCCUUCUUCAUAAGUCUUUAUCCCUAGAUAGUUGUAGCACUGUAGCAGUUCAUUUUGAAAAAUUUUGAACGCUGUGAGUGUGUAAAGCCUUCUACCCUGUUCUUCUACUGGUUCUUUUGUAUGUAGAAAAGCCUGCAAAUUAUAACAAUUAAAGUCCUCUUGUCUUUCCUCAUCGCGACGUCGUGCAAGGCCUUGCUCAUAUCGUGAAAUAAACUCUGCAAGUGGUGUUUGAGCAUUCAAGUAUGUACCAAAGAAUGAUUCCAAACCUUCACUUACGGGAAUGCCAGCACAAAAUUUUCCCCCUAGGUACAGUGGCACCCAGCUUUCACGCUUUUCAUACAUUUCUCUAAGCCAAGCAUUCUCCUUCAGCGCAUAUUUGUUGAUGAGUGCACUCCACAUGGUUUUAAAGUCAACAGAUGUUUGGCUUUGAUAGAUGCAUUUCUCAUAUUCAUAUUUGAAUUCUUCGGUCAUUGACCUAAAAUUCUCUCGUUCCUUUGCUCUAAUCUGCCACAUCGAAAAACGAUGAUGAGUCCCCGGAAAGACUUUUGCAAUUGCUUGCUGGAUGGCUGCAUCUUGAUCAGCUAUAAUAGAUUUAGGUCGACAUCCUGACAUAGCUCUAAGCCAUGUCUGAAACAGCCAAGUGACAGACUCCUCUGACAUAUUGGCGAUUAGAGCACAAGCUAGAAGAACUGGCUGCUUAUGGUGGUUAACUCCAACCAAGGUUGCAAAUGGCACUACAUAAUUACUCUUCCUGUAUGAGGUAUCAAACACAAUGGCAUCACCAAAUUGACUGCAUGAGAAUCUAGACCUGCCAUCUGCCCAGAAAACACUCAUGCAACUACCAUUAUCAGCCUCCACUGAAUAAAAGAAUCCAGUAUCUUCUGCUUGCCUAGUUUGGAAAUAAUCCAGAAGCAAUUUGUACCAAUCACUUCCAAUGUUGUUUUCUCGAGCUCCCCUGCUCGGACUACCAUAAUAUAUUUUAGCUAUGUCUACAGAGUCCAAACCAUCAUUUACAUCACCAUUUGCAUCAUCUAUGAAUUUCUUUGAAGUAUUAUAACUUUUCUGUUGAGUUCCUGUUUGCAGCUCAAGAUCAUGAUUAUGACUCUUUUGAAGACGGUCCACUAUCCAAGUUCCAGAUUCUUGCCUCUUAAUCCUCAUAAAUGCCCCACAGCCUACUCUUGAAGGGUGUUGGAACCCCUCCUUGGAGCACACAAAUCGCCGGGAUGUAAUAGACCCAUCAUUCUUUGAACGAAAUAGCUGACCAAUCCGAAUUCUAAAUCCAGCACCAUCUGCAUAUAUUUGGUAAAAUUGGUAUGCUUCAUCAGCUGAAUUGAAUGCUAGACCUGCAUAAGGUUCAGCAUUUAAUGGACCUUCAUCUCCUCCCCUUUUAAGUCGUUUGACAUUAAUAACGCCAGAUGGGCAUGGCCUCUCAUUAUCAACAUCCUCAAUCAGUUUGAAUUUUGGCCUUUGAGACACAUCAGUGGGUUUGAAUUUUGGCCUUUGAGACACAUCAGUGG